AACGAACGCUGGCGGCAUGCCUAACACAUGCAAGUCGAACGAUGCUUUCGGGCAUAGUGGCGAACGGGUGCGUAACGCGUGGGAAUCUGCCCUUGGGUUCGGAAUAACAGUGAGAAAUUGCUGCUAAUACCGGAUGAUGACUUCGGACCAAAGAUUUAUCGCCCAGGGAUGAGCCCGCGUAGGAUUAGCUAGUUGGUGGGGUAAUGGCCUACCAAGGCGACGAUCCUUAGCUGGUCUGAGAGGAUGAUCAGCCACACUGGGACUGAGACACGGCCCAGACUCCUACGGGAGGCAGCAGUGGGGAAUAUUGGACAAUGGGCGCAAGCCUGAUCCAGCAAUGCCGCGUGAGUGAUGAAGGCCUUAGGGUUGUAAAGCUCUUUUACACGGGAUGAUAAUGACAGUACCGGGAGAAUAAGCUCCGGCUAACUCCGUG
rnacentral:rRNA from 1 species